rnacentral:lncRNA from 1 species
CUCUUGUCCUAUCUUCUUUCUUUAGUUGUCUUAUUUCUCUCUCUCUUUCUCUCUCUCUUUGUUUUUCCCAUGGUUUAAAGAUCAGAUCGUAAUCAAUAUUAUUUUCCUCCGACGAGAGGUUAACGUCGUCAACGCUAGUUAUUACUGGCCCUAGAUAACCGAUAAACUUUCGUUCUCUAUUAAGAUAAACACCCGGUUUCGGGAUACCUUAAAAAAAAAAAAAGUUCCAGGAAGAGGAAACAUUCCGAAACAUAAGAGGAUCCUUCAACUGUAUUCGUUUUCGCUUGUUGCUCCUAAACAAUGUUCUAUAGAAAUUUUCGUUACUCACCUCCCCCCCGAAUGCAAGACGGUUAUUUGUAAAUUGCACGCCGAUAUUUUUCCACCUAAAUCUUUUCUCAGUUCUAUGCCAAGGACGUUCGGCACCAAAAAUAACGCGCGUGCCGUUUCUAGAAGCACUUCCUGCCUGAUGCAAUCCUUUCCCGUCAUGCAAUUGACCCUGAGAGUUGGAAUCGUCCUCAUCUAUCUCUGGCUAUCUGUUCUACCCUCAAGGACGUCGCUUUGGCACGUGACGGACGUCCUUGAUCCACCGAUUUCGAAUGACGCUGCGGAAUCGAAUUAUUACGUACUCGAUUAUUUUUCCGAAAUUUUUUCUCGAUAAUACAACGAUUAGAUUUAUUUCUAAAUAGAAGAAUUUCUUCGUUAAAAUAACAAAGAAAAUUCCUGGUUAUUUUAUAUAUAUGUAUAUAUAUAUAGAAUGUAAGAAUUUCC